rnacentral:rRNA from 1 species
GCAGCGGAAAGCGGGAAGAGCUCAAAUUUAUAAUCUGGCACCUUCGGUGUCCGAGUUGUAAUCUCUAGAAGUGUUUUCCGCGUUGGACCGCACACAAGUCUGUUGGAAUACAGCGGCAUAGUGGUGAAACCCCCGUAUAUGGUGCGGACGCCCAGCGCUUUGUGAUACACUUUCAAUGAGUCGAGUUGUUUGGGAAUGCAGCUCAAAUUGGGUGGUAAAUUCCAUCUAAAGCUAAAUAUUGGCGAGAGACCGAUAGCGAACAAGUACCGUGAGGGAAAGAUGAAAAGCACUUUGGAAAGAGAGUUAACAGUACGUGAAAUUGUUGGAAGGGAAACGCUUGAAGUCAGACUUGCUUGCCGGAGCUUGCUUCGGUUUGCAGGCCAGCAUCAGUUUUCCGGGGUGGAUAAUGACGGUUUGAAGGUAGCAGUCUCGGCUGUGUUAUAGCUUUCCGUUGGAUACGCCCUGGGGGACUGAGGAACGCAGCGUGCUUUUUGCGAAAGACUCGUCUUUUUCACGCUUAGGAUGCUGGUGGAAUGGCUUUAAACGACCCGUCUUGAAACACGGACCAAGGAGUCUAACAUGCUCGCGAGUAUUUGGGUGUCAAACCCGGAUGCGCAAUGAAAGUGAAUGUAGGUGGGAACCGCAAGGUGCACCAUCGACCGAUCUGGAUUUUUUAAGAUGGAUUUGAGUAAGAGCGCGUAUGUUGGGACCCGAAAGAUGGUGAACUAUGCCUGAAUAGGGCGAAGCCAGAGGAAACUCUGGUGGAGGCUCGUAGCGGUUCUGACGUGCAAAUCGAUCGUCAAAUUUGGGUAUAGGGGCGAAAGACUAAUCGAACCAUCUAGUAGCUGGUUCCUGCCGAAGUUCCCCUCAGGA